UGACAAGCAUUUAGGCGAUAUGAUCUUGAUUCUUAUCCAAUCCAAACCAAUGAGUGAACCAACUAAGGAUCACAUAUUCAAACACGUGCACCAUUGAAUUUGCUCAUGCAACACAUGUAUUCAAGACAUACAAAAUCAGUCAAUAUGUAACCCACAUGAUACAUAAAACCGUUUUGUAGACAAUUGACAAAGGACGUCAUUUUGAAAGAUUCGAUGAAAAGAGAGAUAUAACUUCAUCAAGUCAUGGAAUGUAUCUAGUCGUCAUGAAGUGUUCGGACUUUCAUCCUACUCAAAUGGUGCAUGAAUUUCAUAAUAUUUCGGUAUUUCCUAAGUAUAGAUGUUAGAGACAAAUAUGAUGAGAACCUCUAUCCCUAGAUCAAUGCACAGAAAAAACACCAAAAUUCAUUAACCUCAGUAGGAUUAUCAAUCUAUUCAAAACAACAUAUGAUUAGAGACAGACACAGUGACUCUGACAGAAGUUUAUCAUAUCAAACAAAGCUAAAGUGAUAUGUGUUAUGCAUCCUUU
rnacentral:lncRNA from 1 species